rnacentral:rRNA from 1 species
GAUGAACGCUAGCUACAGGCUUAACACAUGCAAGUCGAGGGGUAACGAGAGGGAAGCUUGCUUUCCAUGUCGACGACCGGCGCACGGGUGAGUAACGCGUAUUCAACCUUCCCCCAACUAAGGAAUAACCUUGCGAAAGUAAGACUAAUACUCUAUAAUUUCCUCAGAUGAGAUCUUACGAGGAAUAAAGAUUUAUCGGUUGUGGAUGGGUAUGCGUCUGAUUAGCUUGUUGGCGGGGUAACGGCCAAACAUGGCAACGAUCAGUAGGGGUUCUGAUAGGAAGGUCCCCCACAUUGGAACUGAGACACGGCCCAGACUCCUACGGGAGGCAGCAGUGAGGAAUUUUGGACAAUGGGCGCAAGCCUGAUCCAGCUAUGCCGCGUGAGUGAAGAAGGCCUUCGGGUUGUAAAGCUCUUUUGUCAGGGAAGAAAUGGUUUGGGCUAAUACCCUGAAUCGAUGACGGUACCUGAAGAAUAAGCACCGGCUAACUACGUGCCAGCAGCCGCAGUAACAC